rnacentral:lncRNA from 1 species
CAGACUCCUCAAACCAGCUAAGGACCAAUCUCCAAGCAGCAUCUGAGGUUGAAUUAUAGGAAGAGGAUUCACGUUGAUGGUAUUUACAGAUGUUCUUCCAUGUCUACAGGGACAUAUCUCAACAUGUAAUUUGUGACUUACCUGAUUUGACCAUCUGUGAGAAAGAAGUCUGAUGGUAUAGGGUGAAGUUUUCAAAGAUGAGAGGUAGCUAUGGUGGAGCAGGGAAAACAAGCAAUUCAGACUGAAGAGACACACUGAGUCCCACCUUGGCCCUAACUCACUGUGCCACACUGUGAAACCUCACCUUCUCUGCUGGAAUUCAAUUUCUUUGUAUUUUGUAUGUAAAGGUAAGACAUUGGACUAGAUAAUUUCUUGUGUCUACUCCAUCUCUAAUCUUACGUG